GGGGGUGGGGGAGGGGAGGAAGGGAGGGUAAAUAGGAGAGGUAUAGAGAAAAAGAAACGCAAAAGAAAAGAAACACAGAAGCAAAGAAAUAUAGAGAAAAAGAGAUAAAGGGGCCCGGCCGGCCGCAACCUCCCGCCCCGAGCGCCGAGCAGCAAAUGGCUCUGCCCGGCCCUCCCCGCCGCUUAAAUCCCCCCGGCCCCGCCCCGCGCAGGCGCGCUGGGGCCCCGCGCACCUGUGCGCGCACCUGUGCUGGCCCCGCCCCCCCGCCCCCCGCCCGUAAAUGGCGGCGGAUCCGCGCCCGCCUCACAUUCUGCGGGGGAUGCUCGGCCGGGCUGCGGCGGGACCGGCGCUCGGAGCGCCGUGCGGAGAUCGGAUCGGGGCUGCUCCCGGCGCUGCGCGGCGCCCGACGGGCUCAGGCACGCAGGGAUGCUUCAGCCCGGACAGACGGCACCGACAGCCCAGAGGGACCCCAGGGAACGGCUGGCAUCACCUGGGAACGGAGGCACGGCCGUUUGCAGAGGGGCUCUGACAGCAAUCCCCGUUUCUGA
rnacentral:lncRNA from 1 species